CUCAGGAUGAACGCUAGCGGCGGGCUUAACACAUGCAAGUCGAACGGUAACAGUUCCUUCGGGAAGCUGACGAGUGGCGAACGGGUGCGUAACGCGUAUGCAACCUGCCUCUGACAGGGGGAUAGCCCAGAGAAAUCCGGAUUAAUACCCCAUAUUAUACCGAAUGGCAUCAGGAAGGUAUGAAAGCUUCGGCGGUCAGAGAUGGGCAUGCGUCAGAUUAGCUAGUUGGUGAGGUAAAGGCUCACCAAGGCGAUGAUCUGUAGGGGUCUCGAGAGGGUGAUCCCCCACACUGGUACUGAGACACGGACCAGACUCCUACGGGAGGCAGCAGUGAGGAAUAUUGGACAAUGGAGGGAACUCUGAUCCAGCCACGCCGCGUGCAGGAAUAAGGCCUUAUGGGUUGUAAACUGCUUUUAUAUGGGAAUAAACCGCCCCACGUGUUGGGGUGCUGAAAGUACCGUAUGAAUAAGUACCGGCUAACUCCGUGCCAGCAGCCGCGGUAAUACGGAGGGUACGAGCGUUAUCCGGAUUUAUUGGGUUUAAAGAGUCCGUAGGCGGGCUAAUAAGUCAGUGGUGAAAGCCUGCAGCUUAACUGUAGAAUUGCCAUUGAUACUGUCAGUCUUGAGUGAGGUUGAAGCAGCUGGAAUAUGUGGUGUAGCGGUGAAAUGCAUAGAGAUCACAUAGAACACCGAUUGCGAAGGCAGGUUGCUAAGCCUUAACUGACGCUGAGGGACGAAAGCGUGGGGAGCGAACAGGAUUAGAUACCCUGGUAGUCCACGCCGUAAACGAUGAUUACUCGGUGUUGGGUUUUAAUUCGGCGCCCAAGCGAAAGUGAUAAGUAAUCCACCUGGGGAGUACGUUCGCAAGAAUGAAACUCAAAGGAAUUGACGGGGGCCCGCACAAGCGGUGGAGCAUGUGGUUUAAUUCGAUGAUACGCGAGGAACCUUACCAGGGCUUAAAUGCAGGGCGACGGUUUUGGAAACAAGACUUUCUUCGGACGGCCUGCAAGGUGCUGCAUGGUUGUCGUCAGCUCGUGCCGUGAGGUGUCAGGUUAAGUCCUAUAACGAGCGCAACCCCUAUCGUUAGUUGCCAGCGUGUCAUGACGGGGACUCUAACGAGACUGCCGGUGCAAACCGAGAGGAAGGCGGGGAUGACGUCAAAUCAUCACGGCCCUUACGUCCUGGGCUACACACGUGCUACAAUGGUCGGUACAGAGGGCAGCUACACCGCGAGGUGAUGCGAAUCUCAAAAGCCGAUCUCAGUUCGGAUCGCAGUCUGCAACUCGACUGCGUGAAGCCGGAAUCGCUAGUAAUCGCAAAUCAGCCAUGUUGCGGUGAAUACGUUCCCGGGCCUUGUACACACCGCCCGUCAAGCCAUGGAAGCCGGGGGUACCUGAAGUCGGUGACCGCAAGGAGCUGCCUAGGGUAAAACCGGUGACUGGGGCU
rnacentral:rRNA from 1 species